CUCUUACCUGUCAUUUCUGUUCUGUCCAAUUGCAACCCAAAACUUCUGACACCAAUUUGUUGGGGAUAAAAUCAGCCCAGGCCCUUUAUGGAUGAUGGAUAUUUGCCAACUCAUUCAGAGCUCUGGAAAUUGGAAAUUAAUAGCAGAGACGUGUUCAAUAACCAAUUAAAAUUUUAUUAUACGUCAGUUAUGUUUAUACCCCAUUUUCAUGUUGGUAGGGGCCAUGAGCAUUAAUGACAUAGAUUGUUUUUCACAAGUUAUGAGCAGCUGUUUCUAGUUAUAUCCUACGUUAUAUAACGCGUGCAUAUUUGAUAAAAACCAAAUAUUUACAAAUACCAAAAUCUUGGACAAUUAACAAGAAAAUUUUGAAAUCUGUACUUUUCCCGUAAC